AACAACAAAACAAUACAAUUAAAGCAAAUAUACUGAAGAAAACUUCAGUCACGAUAUACAAAUUAAUGUAAAAGAAAAAUAAUAAAUAACUACAUUCUAAAGGAUUAAAAUACAAACACAAACCAGCAACGGGAGAACUUCUAUAGGGUUGCUCGACUUGCUAAAAAUAGCAGCCAAGUGUUCCUCAACUCACACGCUACGGUCUUAAGAAAGAAAAAACACACUGGAUAAUGCAGUACUAAAUACAUUAUGUCAGGAAAAAAAAAAGAGGGGGUGGUUGUGGUUGGAACCCUUUGAUCAAAGGUGUGCACGAUGAGGCCCAAUCUGGUACCUGACAACAUGAACACUACUUGUUUCUAAAUCCUUAUACAUUUGCACGCAGUUUCUCAACAAUGAUGGUAAGUUGGUCACAGCUAGAAAUAUUAAGUAGAUGGAUGAUUUCCUCUAUAAAGCAAAGCUGUGUGUGUGUGUACGUGCGUCUAUCACCGUGGUUGCCCAACAAUAAUAUCAAAUCUGAGGUGAACUAUGUGUGCCACAUAACUACUUUAGGCCUAUGACGCAACAGUUUGGUGAACAUUUUAAGAUACUGUAUGACGCAACAGUUUGGUGAACAUUUUAAGAUACUGUAUCAAGGAUUAUGAUUCAACGCGGUAAAAAUAAAUACUUUGGGAAGAGAUUUGGAUAUUUUUUCUAACAGGCCGAGCGACCACACAGAAGUAUCAUCGUUGGCACUUGCAUGCAACAUCAAGUGUGUUAAAAUACUGCAUAUUUCAGUUUGCAAUAAGACACAGAUUAACACAGUUAAACAUUCUAAACAUGUGCUUAGGGCAACAAGGGAAGAAAACACUACAGCUGUUGUUAUUUUUGUUUGUUUUUUUUGUUUUUUUGCGUUUUUGUCCCCUGCCCCUCGGUACCGGGUCUAUGUAAAUGAUAGACAAUGACACAGUAUUUCUUUUUUAUGAAUAAUAAAAUAUUGGAAAUAUGCAUUAUUUGUAAGUAAAAUCAUUGGCUUAUAUUGGUUGCUGCAAUUUGAACUUAAAUAGCAGGUAUAUUUAAUGUAUUUGUGAGGAUCAUGCCUGGAAAAAGAAAACUGAAUUUUUAAUCUAGUUAGUACUUGACAUUCAACACUUUGCCAUAACAGUUUAUCAAUCAAAUAGCAAAAAGAUCAAUAGGGCACAGUUAUUGAGUUGUGCAAAGGGCAACGGUUAACUUUAAUUAGGCUCUGUUUGCAGAACUAAAUGUAAAAUACGUCGCGUAAUUGACAUCACACAAUUAAACAGUAGCACAUAGACUGACAGAAAUCACUAUAAGCGGCUUGUGACAUCCGAUACCAUAAACUUAUGAUUAAAAUGAUACAAGAUAUCGAUCAAUUGAAAUUCAAACAAAACAUCAACAGCCUUGACCUCACCAGUGUGAAGGCCUUCAAAGAUCUGGGGAAUAUCCUACCUUACUCAUCUGUCAAUAAGAAUAAUUUCUGACGUUGGAAUACGCCAGAAAUUUACCAUGAAAGAAUAGUUGAUUAUAUCCACACCAGUAGUUGACUGGUACUUUAUUUUAUCGACUUCGAAAGGAAGAAAAACAAAGCUAAGCUCGGCACGAUAUGAACUUAGAAAGUAAACGGCCGCAACUAAAAGCUGUAAGGCAUUUCGUCUGACGCUCUACUGAUUCUGCCAAUCCACAAUAAUGGUUUCUGAUUUAGACACAAGCCCAACAAUUAUUGACUUCAUCGAUAGCAGUACUUGACUGGUACUUUAUUUUAUUGACUCUGAAAGGGUGAAAGGCAAAGCUGACCUCUGUGAAAUCUGAAUUUGGAGUGUAAAAAGCCGGAACAUACAGUAAAGAGCACUUUCCUUAAGCUCUAUCGACCAGACAAGUAGCAUUUAGUUAUCCAAGGGUUAAAUUAUUUCCCAAAGAUAACACGGUGUCAGAGGCAAAAAGAACAUUAUUGCGACUCGAAUGGAUUUGAACAUACAUUUCCUCAAUCAGUACCAUUUCUUAUAGACAAUCUACACAUAAAACUUAUUUAAUCAAUAUUUGAUUUCUACAGCAAGCAUAUCCAUAUACAUAAUUGUUAUUUAUAUACUUCAUACUUGUAAAUACGUGGUAAAUAAUAAAAAAAUCCUUUUAAUAAU